UGGUAGUGUAUUGGACAACCAUGGUGAUCACGCGUAACGGAGAAUAAGGGUUCGGCUCCGGAGAGUUCGCCUGAGAAAUCGCGAACACAUCUAAGGAAGGCAGCAGGCGCGAAAAUUACCCACUCUCAGCACGAGGAGGUAGUGACGAAAAAUAACGAGACCGUUCUCUUAUGAGGCCGGUCAUCGGAAUGGGUACAAUACAAACCCUUUAACGAGUAUCUAUGAGAGGGCAAGUCUGGUGCCAGCAGCCGCGGUAAUUCCAGCUCUCAUAGUGCAUAGAAUUAUUGCUGCAGUUAAAAAGCUCGUAGUUGGAUCUGUGCCAUAGGACUGGGUCCACUUUCGGGUGCGUACUCAGCUCCUAGGCUUUUUGUCGGUUUUCUCGUCGUAGCCUUUAUUGGUUGCGGCGGGUGGCUGACGAGUUUACUUUGAGAAAAUCAGAGUGCUCAAAACAGGCGUAUAGCUUGAAUGAUUGUGCAUGGAAUAAUAGAAAAGGAUUUCGGUCCUCUUUUAUUGGUUUUGUGGACUGAGAUAAUGGUUAACAGGGACAAACGGGGGCAUUCGUAUCGAUGCGUGAGAGGUGAAAUUCUUGGACCGUAUCGAGACGCCCUACUGCGAAAGCAUUUGCCAAGGAUGUUUUC
rnacentral:rRNA from 1 species